GGGUGAUGUCAUGCUUCCAAGAAAAGCCCUAUACCCGUUAAGGCAUGAUGGCCUGUACCCGAAACCGACACAGGUGGGGUGGUAGAGAAUACCGAGGGGCGCGAGGUAACUCUCUCUAAGGAACUCGGCAAAAUGGCCCCGUAACUUCGGGAGAAGGGGUGCCACCGCAAGGUGGUCGCAGUGAAGAGGCCCAGGCGACUGUUUACCAAAAACACAGGUCUCCGCUAAGUCGCAAGACGAUGUAUGGGGGCUGACGCCUGCCCAGUGCCGGAAGGUUAAGGAAGCUGGUCAGCGUAAGCGAAGCUAGCGACUGAAGCCCCGGUGAACGGCGGCCGUAACGAUAACGGUCCUAAGGUAGCGAAAUUCCUUGUCGGGUAAGUUCCGACCCGCACGAAAGGCGUAACGAUCUGGGCGCUGUCUCGGAGAGAGGCUCGGCGAAAUAGAAUUGUCUGUGAAGAUGCGGACUACGUGCACCCGGACAGAAAGACCCUAUGAAGCUUUACUGUAGCUUGGUAUUGUGCUCGGGCUCGGAAUGCGCAGGAUAGGUGGGAGGCUAUGAACCAUUGCUUGUGGGUGAUGGUGAGCCACUGGUGAGAUACCACUCUUUCCGAGCUAGAGUUCUAACAGCCACCCGUUAUCCGGGGGCUGGACAGUAUCAGGUGGGCAGUUUGACUGGGGCGGUCGCCUCCUAAAAGGUAACGGAGGCGCGCAAAGGUUUGCUCAGGCUGGUUGGAAAUCAGCCGACGAGUGUAAAAGCAGAAGCAAGCUUGACUGUGAGACCUACAAGUCGAACAGGGAGGAAACUCGGCUUUAGUGAUCCGACGGUUCUGCGUGGAAGGGCCGUCGCUCAACGGAUAAAAGUUACUCUAGGAUAACAGGCUGAUCUCCCCCAAGAGUUCACAUCGACGGGGAGGUUUGGCACCUCGAUGUCGGCUCAUCGCAACCUGGGGCUGAAGUCGGUCCCAAGGGUUGGGCUGUUCGCCCAUUAAAGCGGUACGCGAGCUGGGUUCAGAACGUCGUGAGACAGUUCGGUCCAUAUCCGGUGCAUGCGCAGGAAUAUUGAGAGGAUUUCUCCCUAGUACGAGAGGACCGGGAGGAACGCACCUCUGGUGUACCAGUUAUCGUGCCAACGGUAAACGCUGGGUAGCCAUGUGCGGAGAGGAUAACCGCUGAAAGCAUCUAAGUGGGAAGCCCACCUCAAGAUGAGUAUUCCCAUGGGGUAACCCAGUAAGGUCACGGGAAGAACACCCGUUGAUAGGCUCUACGUGGAAGCGCAGUAAUGUGUGAAGCGGAGGAGUACUAAUAGACCGAGGGCUUGACC
rnacentral:rRNA from 1 species